rnacentral:rRNA from 1 species
UACGUAGGCAGUGAGCGUUGUUCGGAGUUACUGGGCGUAAAGCGUGCGUAGGCGGUUUUGUAAGUUUGGUGUGAAAUCUCCCGGCUUAACUGGGAGGGUGCGCCGAAAACUGCAAGGCUGGAGUGUGGGAGAGGUAGGCGGAAUUCCUGGUGUAGCGGUGAAAUGCGUAGAUAUCAGGAGGAACACCUGUGGUGUAGACGGCUUACUGGACCAUGACUGACGCUGAGGCACGAAAGCGUGGGGAGCAAACAGG